UACAGAGGGUGCAAGCGUUAAUCGGAAUUACUGGGCGUAAAGCGUGCGUAGACGGUUGCGUAAGUCAGAUGUGAAAGCCCCGGGCUCAACCUGGGAAUUGCAUUUGAGACUGCGUAGCUAGGGUGCGGAAGAGGGAAGCGGAAUUUCCGGUGUAGCGGUGAAAUGCGUAGAUAUUCGGAAGAACACCAGUGGCGAAGGCGACUCACUGGACAUGUAUUGACGCUGAGGUGCGAAAGCGUGGGGAGCAAACAGG
rnacentral:rRNA from 1 species